AGUUGGUAUCAGAGCCUUUGGCUUUAAGAGUGUGCGGCAAACAAUGGCUGAAGUGAGUGAAACAAGUGACAAGACGCAAGAGAGAAAUGACCAUGCGCAAGGAGUGUCUUCUUUGGUGGAACAGCCGGCUGGUACAAAGACCAAGUGGUUGGGCAAGUUUAUGAGCUCUUCUCAAAUGAGAGAGGAGUUGGGAAACCUUGAAACGAAACUGGAGAAAUUGAAAAAUGAAAAUGAGGCUAUGAGAAUUGUUCAUGCCGAGGAGAUAGCCAUCGUGAGGAAAGACAACCAUGCUCUUAAAGAAGAGGUAGAAAGAUUGAAGGGAGAAAUGAAGGGUUUACGGGGAGAACUUGAAUUGCUUGCAAGAUUGGUGGCCCAAAAAUGUGGGACCAAUCCUCACUCCACAUUCUCUACCC
rnacentral:misc_RNA from 1 species